rnacentral:rRNA from 1 species
GGGUUGUGAGGUUAAGCGACUAAGCGUACACGGUGGAUGCCCUGGCAGUCAGAGGCGAUGAAGGACGUGCUAAUCUGCGAUAAGCGUCGGUGAGGUGAUAUGAACCGUUAUAACCGGCGAUUUCCGAAUGGGGAAACCCAGUGUGAUUCGUCACACUAUCAUUAACUGAAUCCAUAGGUUAAUGAGGCGAACCGGGGGAACUGAAACAUCUAAGUACCCCGAGGAAAAGAAAUCAACCGAGAUUCCCCCAGUAGCGGCGAGCGAACGGGGAGGAGCCCAGAGCCUGAAUCAGUGUGUGUGUUAGUGGAAGCGUCUGGAAAGGCGCGCGAUACAGGGUGACAGCCCCGUACACAAAAAUGCACAUAUUGUGAGCUCGAUGAGUAGGGCGGGACACGUGGUAUCCUGUCUGAAUAUGGGGGGACCAUCCUCCAAGGCUAAAUACUCCUGACUGACCGAUAGUGAACCAGUACCGUGAGGGAAAGGCGAAAAGAACCCCGGCGAGGGGAGUGAAAAAGAACCUGAAACCGUGUACGUACAAGCAGUGGGAGCCUCUUAAUGGGGUGACUGCGUACCUUUUGUAUAAUGGGUCAGCGACUUAUAUUCUGUAGCAAGGUUAACCGAAUAGGGGAGCCGAAGGGAAACCGAGUCUUAACUGGGCGUUAAGUUGCAGGGUAUAGACCCGAAACCCGGUGAUCUAGCCAUGGGCAGGUUGAAGGUUGGGUAACACUAACUGGAGGACCGAACCGACUAAUGUUGAAAAAUUAGCGGAUGACUUGUGGCUGGGGGUGAAAGGCCAAUCAAACCGGGAGAUAGCUGGUUCUCCCCGAAAGCUAUUUAGGUAGCGCCUCGCGAAUUCAUCUCCGGGGGUAGAGCACUGUCUCGGCAAGGGGGUCAUCCCGACUUACCAACCCGAUGCAAACUGCGAAUACCGGAGAAUGUUAUCACGGGAGACACACGGCGGGUGCUAACGUCCGUCGUGAAGAGGGAAACAACCCAGACCGCCAGCUAAGGUCCCAAAGUCAUGGUUAAGUGGGAAACGAUGUGGGAAGGCCCAGACAGCCAGGAUGUUGGCUUAGAAGCAGCCAUCAUUUAAAGAAAGCGUAAUAGCUCACUGGUCGAGUCGGCCUGCGCGGAAGAUGUAACGGGGCUAAACCAUGCACCGAAGCUGCGGCAGCGACGCUUAUGCGUUGUUGGGUAGGGGAGCGUUCUGUAAGCCUGUGAAGGUGUACUGUGAGGUAUGCUGGAGGUAUCAGAAGUGCGAAUGCUGACAUAAGUAACGAUAAAGCGGGUGAAAAGCCCGCUCGCCGGAAGACCAAGGGUUCCUGUCCAACGUUAAUCGGGGCAGGGUGAGUCGACCCCUAAGGCGAGGCCGAAAGGCGUAGUCGAUGGGAAACAGGUUAAUAUUCCUGUACUUGGUGUUACUGCGAAGGGGGGACGGAGAAGGCUAUGUUGGCCGGGCGACGGUUGUCCCGGUUUAAGCGUGUAGGCUGGUUUUCCAGGCAAAUCCGGAAAACCAAGGCUGAGGCGUGAUGACGAGGCACUACGGUGCUGAAGCGACAAAUGCCCUGCUUCCAGGAAAAGCCUCUAAGCAUCAGGUAACAUCAAAUCGUACCCCAAACCGACACAGGUGGUCAGGUAGAGAAUACCAAGGCGCUUGAGAGAACUCGGGUGAAGGAACUAGGCAAAAUGGUGCCGUAACUUCGGGAGAAGGCACGCUGAUAUGUAGGUGAAGCGACUUGCUCGUGGAGCUGAAAUCAGUCGAAGAUACCAGCUGGCUGCAACUGUUUAUUAAAAACACAGCACUGUGCAAACACGAAAGUGGACGUAUACGGUGUGACGCCUGCCCGGUGCCGGAAGGUUAAUUGAUGGGGUUAGCGGUAACGCGAAGCUCUUGAUCGAAGCCCCGGUAAACGGCGGCCGUAACUAUAACGGUCCUAAGGUAGCGAAAUUCCUUGUCGGGUAAGUUCCGACCUGCACGAAUGGCGUAAUGAUGGCCAGGCUGUCUCCACCCGAGACUCAGUGAAAUUGAACUCGCUGUGAAGAUGCAGUGUACCCGCGGCAAGACGGAAAGACCCCGUGAACCUUUACUAUAGCUUGACACUGAACAUUGAGCCUUGAUGUGUAGGAUAGGUGGGAGGCUUUGAAGUGUGGACGCCAGUCUGCAUGGAGCCGACCUUGAAAUACCACCCUUUAAUGUUUGAUGUUCUAACGUUGGCCCCUAAUCGGGGUUGCGGACAGUGUCUGGUGGGUAGUUUGACUGGGGCGGUCUCCUCCUAAAGAGUAACGGAGGAGCACGAAGGUUGGCUAAUCCUGGUCGGACAUCAGGAGGUUAGUGCAAUGGCAUAAGCCAGCUUGACUGCGAGCGUGACGGCGCGAGCAGGUGCGAAAGCAGGUCAUAGUGAUCCGGUGGUUCUGAAUGGAAGGGCCAUCGCUCAACGGAUAAAAGGUACUCCGGGGAUAACAGGCUGAUACCGCCCAAGAGUUCAUAUCGACGGCGGUGUUUGGCACCUCGAUGUCGGCUCAUCACAUCCUGGGGCUGAAGUAGGUCCCAAGGGUAUGGCUGUUCGCCAUUUAAAGUGGUACGCGAGCUGGGUUUAGAACGUCGUGAGACAGUUCGGUCCCUAUCUGCCGUGGGCGCUGGAGAACUGAGGGGGGCUGCUCCUAGUACGAGAGGACCGGAGUGGACGCAUCACUGGUGUUCGGGUUGUCAUGCCAAUGGCACUGCCCGGUAGCUAAAUGCGGAAGAGAUAAGUGCUGAAAGCAUCUAAGCACGAAACUUGCCCCGAGAUGAGUUCUCCCUGACUCCUUGAGAGUCCUGAAGGAACGUUGAAGACGACGACGUUGAUAGGCCGGGUGUGUAAGCGCAGCGAUGCGUUGAGCUAACCGGUACUAAUGAACCGUGAGGCUUAACCUUACAACGCCGAAG